UCCGGUCACCGUGUGAAAGUUCAGGGAGGUCGAAUGAUCCCUAGCCGAGUGUGACUCGGGCCGCGCCGUGUUUAAAGCCGGAUCUUACAAGUUGGAGACGCCGUGGGCACCGGCAUGGAAGCAAGGGGUGUGCGAGGAGCCAGUGACAUUCAAAGAUAUUCUUGUGGACUUCACUGAGGAUGAAUGGCAACAACUAAGUCCUCCACAGAGGAAACUGUACAGGGAAGUGAUGCUGGAGAAUUAGAGGAAUCUGAUCUAUGUGGAGUUAGAAGAGGAGGCAUGGAUGAUGAGGACAGCAUCCCUGAGAGGUGCUCAUCCAGGAAUAUCAACCAAAGUAUCUGGAAGUGGGAACACUGUGGUGGAUUAUCAAGAGGAAGUUGUAACAGACUUAGCAAACCAGGAACUUCUACCUUGGAAAAUCACAAGGAAGGUGCAUACCCAGGACUUUUUUUGUGACAGACUGCCUAAAUUUUGAGGGAAGCAGAGGCUUUUUAAUGACCCAAGAAGAGAUCAAGGAGAAAGCACUAUUGAGGAAAAACUAUUCAAUGGAAAUUGGUUCAAAGAAGUUCCAAGGUCAUAUUUCAUCUAACUUAGGAAGACAAACCUCUUCAUUAUUUGAGGAUGGGAUAAUAGGCCAAGAUAGACAUGUGGGAGAGCAUGCUGAACAGCUUGGCUGUGAGUUUUGUAAGAAUAAGACAAAUUACUCUUGGAAAAUAGUUUGUCAUUUGCAGUCACCAGAAGAAACUAUGCAGAAGUGAAAUGGAAUGACUUUGAAAGUGUCCUUAGGAAAAAUUCAAAUUUUGAAAGAAAUGAAAAUGUUCACAUGGUUGAUAUGCAAUGUAUACGUAUUCAGAGGAAUAAUAAUUUAAGUUUGAGUUAUCAUCACCAUAAUUACAGAGAAAACACAACAAAGAGAUCUUACAAAUGUAAUAAUUAUAGAAAUGACUUCAGUAGUAAAUCAAAACUAAAUUGACAUAUGAUGAUCCACACAGGGAAGAAACCUUAUAAAUGUGAUGAGUGUGGUAAGAAAUUUAGUGAUCAUACAAAUCUUCGUGUUCAUCAGAGAAUCCAUACAGGAGAAAAACCAUAUAAAUGUAGUAAGUGUGGUAAAGACUUCACUAGAAGUUCAGAUCUAGGUACACAUCAGAGGGUUCACAAAGGAGAGCGGCCAUAUAAGUGCAACGAAUGUGGAAAGGGCUUCAUUGCAAGCUCAAAACUCCUCAUUCAUAUGAGAAUUCAUACAGGAGAGAAGCCAUAUAAAUGUCAACAGUGUGGUAAGGGCUUUCCUAGGAAUUCAGAUCUGUUUAUUCAUCAAAGAGUGCACACAGGAGAGAAACCUUAUAAGUAUAAUGUUUGUGGUAAGGGCUUUAGUAGAAGCUCCAAACUCCACCUUCAUCAGAGAAUCCUUACAGGUGAGAAACCAUAUAAAUGUGAACAAUGUGGCAAAGAUUUCAGUAGGAGCUCCAAACUUCAUAUCCAUCAGAGAGUCCACACAGGGGAGAGACCUUAUAAAUGUGAGUGUGGUAAGGGCUUCACUCUUAGCACAAAUCUUUAUGCUCAUCAGUGGAUCCACACUGGAGAGAGACCAUAUAAGUGUAAAGAACGUGGAAAAGGCUUCAGUCCGAGUACAAAUCAUCGUGUUCAUCAGAGUUCACACAGGAGAGAAACCUUACAAAUGUGAAGAGUGUGGUAAAGACUUUAGUUUUAGCACAAAUCUUAGAGUUCAUCAGAGAGUUCACACUGGAGAGAGACCCUACAAAUGCAAUAAAUGUGGGAAGGGAUUCAUCCAGAGUUCAAAACUUCCUAUUCAUCAGAGAGUCCAUGUAGUAAAGAAUAUCUGAAUGUGAUUCUGAUUACAAUUUAAACCAGGAGGGAAAUCUUCUGGCAUAUCAGUACACAGUGACCCAGGAUAAAAAAUGCAACCAACACAGUAAAGAUGUCAACACAGAUUUUUAAUAUGAGAACCAUGGAAUUAAAAUUCGUUAUAAAAUUAUGGAAACUGUUUUGGCCAGAGGUCACAAUACCCUGUGUAAACAAUAUCUAGAUAAUACCUAGUAAAGAAACCCUGAAAACAGUCUCCCCCACUCCCUACACACACACACACACACACACACACACACACAAACACACACACACAGGUGUAUAUAUGCACCCAUAAGGUUUUGUGUGAGAAAACUUAGAUUUUAAGUUUUGUAUUUGCAAAAAAUUACAUAUGUAGCAAUCUUACAAAUGAAUUGGCAUAUCAUUUAAAGAAAGACUGUGAGACAAUACAGAUGAAGAAAUAAUUAGGCAACAACAAAAUAGUUGCAUGCAAUAAACCAAUGGAGAAAAGCCAUAGAUAUCCAUUUAAUCAAAAAGAGGCAUAAAAAUGGUCACAUGUAAUAAAUAAUUUCUACAUGCUUAAAAUAUGAAGUUGAUAGGAUGAUAGGCUUAAAGCUAACCAUAUAAAGAAAAAUAUUAAAUAUAAAUGGCCUAAGCAUGCCAAAGUAAAAGCAGAGAUAGAAGAGAGAAAUGUAAAAAACAAACUGAUUUUAAGAAAUGCACUUGAAGCAUAAACCUGCAUAUAUUAUAAACAAAAGUGUGUGAAAAAGUUAUAGUAUGCUGAUCUGAAUCAAAAGAAAGCCAGAGUGGCAAAAUAAUAAUAGGCAAAAUAAAUUUCAGGGCAAAUUAUAUUGCUAUGGAUAGAUUGAAAAUGAUAUGAUUAUCUCAACCAAAGCAGAAAAAUCAUUUGACAAAAAUUUCAAUCCCUGCUGAAAGUAUUCAACAUUCAGGAUAAUAAAGGAUCUGAUAAAAGGCAAAUAUGAAACUACAAUUAAUAUCAGCUGAUAUCAUUCUUAAUAGUUGAGGACUUAUGAUUUAAAAAAUCACAAGAUAUCUUCUCUCAACUUCUACUCAAAAGUAUUGGAGCUUAUAGCCAGUACAAUAAAGAAAACAAAAGGAAAAAAUUCCAGGAUGUCAAAUAAGUAAAACUGUAUUUGCAGAUGAUAUGAUUGCCAACACAAAAAGUUUCAUGGAAUUUCUAAACAAUUGCCUGGUUCAAUGUGGAAAGUAUGCCCAACACAUGCCCAGAGGUGCUCAGCAAGGACUGAGAGACUUACUAGUUCUAGGUGUUUAGGAAAUUCUCUAUCCAAUCAUUUACCCAAUGAUAAGUGAACUGAGCAAAGACUUCAUAGCUCAACAAAAUAUACAUACGUUACAGAUUUAGUUCAAAAAGUAACCUAAGUGAACAAUGAAAAAUAGUAACAAUAAGCCUGAGAGCAGAAUCUAAUUUCCAGAGUUGUCAUACUAUUUAAAGUGUCAGCUUUCCAACAAGGUAAUUAUGAGGCAUCCAAAGAAAUAAGAAAACAUUGCUGUGCUAGGGGCAGGUAGUUAGUAGAAAACUGUUUCUAAGAAAGUCUAGACAUUGAACUUCUUAGAAAAAUAUUCUAAAUCAAUAAUUUCAAAUCACAUUUAAUUGAACUAAAAGAAAGCAUGUCAGAACAAAGUUUGAGGGCAAUGUUCACAAACUACCAUUAAAGAAAUAGAAAUUUAAAAACUAAAACUUCGGAGUUUUCUACAAGAUUGGAAAUGAAUAACUCACUAUGGGGGCUAAGUAACAGAUUUGAAAUGUCAAAAAAGAAUCAAGUAACUUCAAGAGUCAGAGGAGUAGAGAGAAGGAAUGGCUGAAAACUUACCAAGUUUUAUAUUUAAAAAGUCUAAAAACCAAGAAACCCAACAAAUUCCAAAGAGGAUAAAAACUCAGAGAUAACUCCUAGAUACAUGAUAAAUAAAUUUUUAUGUAACUGACAUAAUACAAAUUAUGUUCUCCAACCACAAUGGGAUAAUAUUAGCAAUGAAGAAGAAAGCUUGGAAAAUUCAGAAAUAUAUAGAAAUUAAGGAACACACAACUAAAUGAACAAUGGGUCUCAGAAGAAAUCACAAAGGAAGUUAGAAAAAACUUAGAAGAAAAAGAAAACAAAACUGAUGUAAUGCAC